AGUUAUUCGGAUACGCACAGGUAUCCUGCAUACCCACAACACGGAGCCGCGCGCACACACACAGCGAGCGCGUUGCGUUGACUUAUUAGUGCUACAAAGGCUCGCCAAACUCCUAGAAUGCUGUCAAACUUCUCCUGUCGCGUGCUGCUCACGCUCCCAGCGGCGUUGCCUCCCCUGAGCUUUACUCGUCGCAGUGAUGUCGUUGCCACGGCUGCUCUCCGGACCGGAAGCAGGAUGGGUUUGAGCUGCGCGCUGACGAGCGGGCUCUCGCCUCGUUGCUUUUCGAACACGCCUGCUCGACUCAGCUGUGGCGCUGGUAUUCUGCAUCGUUCUAAGCUGUGCCUCAGCGGUUUUGGGGAGCCUGCGCAAGGCAGGCCGCACAGUACGAACCACGGCGCUGUGCGUCUGCACGGCACCGUGACCGCCUUCAAGCACCGCCGUGGCUACGGCUUUGUGCUGGCGGAGGGGAUCGCCGCAUCUGCGCCCCCUCUCAAGCAUACGUACGUCGCUCUAGAUACUCAUGCUGCGGCUGCUAGAAACGAUGGCGUCCCGCCGGCGCGAGAGGAGCCGUGCAACGAACUGCACAAGUCCUUCUUUUUUACUCGCAGCGCACUGAUGGGCGGCUUUUACGUGACGGAGGGAGAGCGGGUCUCGUUCGCGGUAGUUCCGGUGCCCCCGAGGAAAGGAAUCAAUCGCCGAGUAGCGGGAGACUCGCCGAGCAGCUGUAAAGACGACGGUGACCACGCUGCCUUAGCCGCCGCCGAGACGGCAGAGUUCUCGCUGGGCAGUCCAGAAGGAGGGUUGGAGGAAGACAGCAGCGCAGUCACGAGCGAUACCCAAUCCCAGCCGCAUCGCAUCGCCGUCAGCUUAAGAUACUACGACGACAAAACAGGAAAGGAAAAACCGAUAUCCCCGCUGACGCUCUACGGGAAAAUUGUAGAGUGGGAUGCAGCGGCGGGUGUCGGCGUGAUUGCGGAGCUGGACACGCGUCGGCAGUAUCACGAAGAUGCACCGCGCUUUCCCUUUUCGUUGGAGAACGUGGAUCUCGCCCUUGGCACCGAGUUGCGCUCCGGCCGCUACGUACGCUUCUGCCUGGAGCCUGCCACUCCCGCGCACAGUGGCGGCGGCGAAGACACCGCCGCCGCGGCGACCCCCACAAGUGGCGCAGAGGCCGCUGCUGAUGUCGACGAGGAUGUGGAGCUCGUGGCGCAGCGCGUCAUCAUUGAUUCCACGAUGGAGCGUCGAAAGGGCGCCUUUGGCCGCCCGCUCGUUUUGGCUGACGCAGCACCGGGUACGAUGACGAGCGAGUCCCGGUUCUCUGGCGUGGUACGGGAGGUGAAGGUAGAUCACUUCGGCUUCAUCCAGGAUGACCUCAGCGGCGAGUCCAUCUUCUUCCACUUUUCAAACACGUCUUCGAAGGUGAAGGCGGGCGACCGGGUCACGUAUCUGCUUCGCGAGGUGGAGUAUGGCAAGCACGCCGGCAAGAAGGCGUGCUACGACGUCCUCAUUGAUCAGACGUCGACGAGCCGUGCACCCGGCGCAGCCAGCGAUCGCGGGGCGUCUGCGGGUGCCGGAGAUGCGGGUGAGCAUCAUCGGAAACACGCGGCAGAACGCCGAUCCAAGACGGCACGCGAUGAAGACGACUUGGACUUCGAACUCCUGUAGUAGCGUAUGACCGCGCCCACCACCACUUCUGGCUCUCCUUUGUGUGAGUGUGGGUGCUUAAAUAAAUCUGCUUCUUGUGUAUGUCUGCGUGCGCCUUCACGUGCUGCUGUGGUCCUCGUCUGUGCGUCGUGCGUGCCUCCCUCUCUCUCCGUGCCUCUGCGUGCACGUCCGUGAGAAGGCGCUUCUCCUCCCUUUUCUACACAGACUUGGACGCGCCUCGUGCUUGAUGCCUCAGCCUUUUCUUUCUCCCAACUUGCGAGACAGCGACGCAGCGGCAAGGGCGCCGGCGGACAUUGUGGGCGACUAAUGAAGAGUAACCGUAGCAGCAGCUGACGUGGCGCCACUUGUGUAGAGGGCGAACACCACAAAAAAAGUACCAAACAUAUACGCAAGCCCAGACGACGCACAAGGGUUUUCCUGGCGUUGCGUUUCUCCUCUCAACUCUCCAUCGUUUAACGGUAACCCAGAGAAAAGGCAAUGGGGUGCGGACACGCGCACACACAUGCAUCGACUGGCCAUUCACUUACGGCACGCAAGCAGAAGAAGCCGAAGGGAUGGCUCAUCACUGUAAUUGAUUCACCGCGGACGUGGCGGUGCGUGCCAUGGUGUGGUGGCAGGUGUGUAUCGUAUUCUGUUUUACUUUCAGGCAGAGAGCGGAGGCGAGAAGGAUGCGAUGGGAGCCUGUGGCUACUGCGCUGUGCCGCACCUUCUCCCCACCAUUCUCUCUCUUCCGGUCGAUGUGGCUGUCGGAGGGGGGGGCUCAUCUGCUGUGCCAACUGGGCAGUCUUUUCG
rnacentral:misc_RNA from 1 species